CCUACGGGCGGCAGCAGUGGGGAAUAUUGGGCAAUGGGCGCAAGCCUGACCCAGCAACGCCGCGUGAAGGAAGAAGGCUUUCGGGUUGUAAACUUCUUUUCUCAGGGACGAAGCAAGUGACGGUACCUGAGGAAUAAGCCACGGCUAACUACGUGUCAGCAGCCGCGGUAAUACGGAGGUGGCAAGCGUUAUCCGGAUUUACUGGGUGUAAAGGGCGUGUAGGCGGGAAAGCAAGUCAGAUGUGAAAACCAUGGGCUCAACCUGUGGCCUGCAUUUGAAACUGUUUUUCUUGAGUACUGGAGAGGCAGACGGAAUUCCUAGUGUAGCGGUGAAAUGCGUAGAUAUUAGGAGGAACACCAGUGGCGAAGGCGGUCUGCUGGACAGCAACUGACGCUGAGGCGCGAAAGCGUGGGGAGCAAACAGGAUUAGAUACCCUAGUAGUC
rnacentral:rRNA from 1 species